CCUACGGGGAGCAGCAGUGAGGAAUAUUGGUCAAUGGACGCAAGUCUGAACCAGCCAUGCCGCGUGCAGGAAGACGGCUCUAUGAGUUGUAAACUGCUUUUAGUUGGGAAUAAAAGCGGGCUCGUGAGCCCCGCAUUGUAUGUACCAUCAGAAAAAGGACCGGCUAAUUCCGUGCCAGCAGCCGCGGUAAUACGGAAGGUCCGGGCGUUAUCCGGAUUUAUUGGGUGUAAAGGGAGCGUAGGCGGAAUGUCAAGUCAGCGGUAAAAUUUCGGGGCUCAACCCCGUCGUGCCGUUGAAACUGGCGUUCUUGAGAGAGCGAGAAGUAUGCGGAAUGCGUGGUGUAGCGGUGAAAUGCAUAG
rnacentral:rRNA from 1 species